rnacentral:rRNA from 1 species
GACGAACGCUGGCGGCGUGCUUAACACAUGCAAGCCGAACGGAAAGGCCCUGCUUGCAGGGUACUCGAGUGGCGAACGGGUGAGUAACACGUGGGUGAUCUGCCCUGCACUUCGGGAUAAGCCUGGGAAACUGGGUCUAAUACCGGAUAGGAGCCAUUUUUAGUGUGAUGGUUGGAAAGUUUUUUCGGUGUAGGAUGAGCUCGCGGCCUAUCAGCUUGUUGGUGGGGUAAUGGCCUACCAAGGCGGCGACGGGUAGCCGGCCUGAGAGGGUGGACGGCCACAUUGGGACUGAGAUACGGCCCAGACUCCUACGGGAGGCAGCAGUGGGGAAUAUUGCACAAUGGGCGCAAGCCUGAUGCAGCGACGCCGCGUGGGGGAGGACGGCCUUCGGGUUGUAAACUCCUUUCGCUAGGGACGAAGCUUUUUGUGACGGUACCUAGAGAAGAAGCACCGGCUAACUACGUG